rnacentral:rRNA from 1 species
GCGAAAACUUUACAAUGCUGGCAACAGCGAUAAGGGAACCUCGAGUGCCAGGUUACAAAUCUGGCUGUCGAGAUGCCUAAAAAGCAUUUCAUAGCAAGGGCCGGGCAAGACCGGUGCCAGCCGCCGCGGUAACACCGGCGGCUCGAGUGGUAACCGUUAUUAUUGGGUCUAAAGGGUCUGUAGCCGGCCGGAUAAGUCUCUUGAGAAAUCUGGCAGCUUAACUGUCAGGCUUUCAGGAGAUACUGUCUGGCUCGAGGCCGGGAGAGGUGAGAGGUACUUCAGGGGUAGUGGUGAAAUCUUGUAAUCCUGGAAGGACGACCAGUGGCGAAGGCGUCUCACCAGAACGGACCUGACGGCAAGGGACGAAAGCUAGGGGCACGAACC